rnacentral:sRNA from 1 species
GCCGGGCAUGGUGGCACACACCUGUAAUCCCAACAACUCAGGAGGCUGAGACAAGAGGAUUGCAGAUUAGAGGCCAGCCUCAUCUACCUACCAAGGCCCUAAGCAACUUAGUGAGAACUUGUCUCAA